rnacentral:tRNA from 1 species
UCUCUUAUAGCUCAGUAGGUAAAGAACCUGCCUGCAAUGCAGGAGACCCAGGUUUGAUUCCUGGGUUGGGAA